rnacentral:rRNA from 1 species
AACGAACGCUGGCGGCAUGCCUAACACAUGCAAGUCGAACGAAGCCUUCGGGCUUAGUGGCGCACGGGUGCGUAACACGUGGGAAUCUGCCCUUCGGUUCGGAAUAACAGUUAGAAAUGACUGCUAAUACCGGAUGAUGACGAAAGUCCAAAGAUUUAUCGCCGAAGGAUGAGCCCGCGUAGGAUUAGGUAGUUGGUAGGGUAAUGGCCUACCAAGCCGACGAUCCUUAGCUGGUCUGAGAGGAUGAUCAGCCACACUGGGACUGAGACACGGCCCAGACUCCUACGGGAGGCAGCAGUGGGGAAUAUUGGACAAUGGGCGAAAGCCUGAUCCAGCAAUGCCGCGUGAGUGAUGAAGGCCUUAGGGUUGUAAAGCUCUUUUACCAGGGAUGAUAAUGACAGUACCUGGAGAAUAAGCUCCGGCUAACUCCGUGCCAGCAGCCGCGGUAAGCACGAGAGUA